ensembl:lncRNA novel transcript
AUAGGUAGAGGUCACCAGCAUAGGUCAGAGGGGAUAUUGUAUGUAACUGGUGACAUUUGAAAGAGACAUAUUGGACAGAAAUGACAUACGUGAAAGCUAAGAUACAAUAUAUUUAAUUUUCUAAGAAUUCAGUUCAAGAUAAGGAAGCUGAGAUGUAGAGCUGAAGUGUCUUGCCCAAGAUCAUUUGUCUACUGCAGCUCCUGUUCCACUUCCUUUCUUGUACUGCUGAACAUCCAGAUAGAGGCAUUGACAUGCAUGGUUUCCAACUGAUCACUUCCUACUCCCUUAAGGACCUCCUGUCAGGCAGGUAUUUAAUUCACUUGCCUUUUCAUCUUUGAGAUUGUCAGUUCUGAUAAAAUUUUAGUGUAAAUCAGCAAAACAUUUGGCUUAUUAAAAAGGGCCAAACUACAGAGAAUGCUGGUCUACAGAACUUCAGAGAAUCCCUGAGAGAAUUCUAAGUUUUGCUAAUUUCUUUAAUAUCAGAAGACAGCUGGAUUCUCAUUUCUGCUUCUGCAUUCAGUCUAUUGUGAUAUAGCAUAUCAUGUAACUUCUGAAAAACUUCACUGUACACAGAUGCUGACCUCACAGACUCCCUGAAAGGAUCUCCAUGACCUCUAUGGUUCCUUAGACUGCACUUUGAGAACUAUUGACGUACAGGGAAAAAUGCUCUUGGUGUUCCAGUUAAGCACAGAAUAAAAUCUGGACUGUGUCAGUUUGUAAAGAUCUUAUGUCUACUUGGUCAUCAGCCAAGAAGGGAUUCCGAAGAUAGAAGAGGAGGCAUCAACACCGUGAACAUCAUGGCUGAGUUAUUUUGUGAGAGGGAUAAGCCUAAAGUAAAAACCUUGGAUUUGCCUCUGUCCUUGAACAUGCUAUCUGGAAAGAGUUUUCUUAAAAGUAUUGUUGUGAACACAUCCAUUUUCCCAGUAUAGUUGAAUGCAGGGUUUAAUAAAUGGAAUGAAUCUAGUUUUA